GGGAACGUACCCUUUACUACGGAAUAACGCAGGGAGACUUGUGCUAAUACCGUAUGUGCCCUUCGGGGGAAAGAUUUAUCGGUAAAGGAUCGGCCCGCGUUGGAUUAGCUAGUUGGUGGGGUAAAGGCCUACCAAGGCGACGAUCCAUAGCUGGUCUGAGAGGAUGAUCAGCCACAUUGGGACUGAGACACGGCCCAAACUCCUACGGGAGGCAGCAGUGGGGAAUAUUGGACAAUGGGCGCAAGCCUGAUCCAGCCAUGCCGCGUGAGUGAUGAAGGCCUUAGGGUUGUAAAGCUCUUUCACCGGAGAAGAUAAUGACGGUAUCCGGAGAAGAAGCCCCGGCUAACUUCGUGCCAGCAGCCGCGGUAAUACGAAGGGGGCUAGCGUUGUUCGGAAUUACUGGGCGUAAAGCGCACGUAGGCGGACUUUUAAGUCAGGGGUGAAAUCCCGGGGCUCAACCUCGGAACUGCCUUUGAUACUGGAAGUCUUGAGUAUGGAAGAGGUAAGUGGAAUUGCGAGU
rnacentral:rRNA from 1 species